rnacentral:rRNA from 1 species
AUUGUACGCUGGCGGCAGGCCUAACACAUGCAAGUCGAACGAGUGGCGGACGGGUGAGUAAUGUCUGGGAAACGGCCUGAUGGAGGGGGAUAACUACUGGAAACGGUAGCUAAUAACGCAUACAAGAGGAUGUGCCCAAUUGGGAUUAGGUAGUAGGUGGGGUAAAGGCUCACCUAGGCGACGAUCCCUAGCUGGUCUGAGAGGAUGACCAGCCACACUGGAACUGAGACACGGUCCAGAUUCCUACGGGAGGCAGCAGUGGGGAAUAUUGGACAAUGGGCGCAAGCCUGAUGCAGCCAUGCCGCGUGUAUGAAGAAGGCCUUCGGGUUGUAAAGUACUUUCAGCGGGGAGGCGUUACCCGCAGAAGAAGCACCGGCUAACUCCGUGCCAGCAGCCGCGGUAAUUC